AGUGUUUCUCAAAACCGAAUCUGCUGAUUUUUAAACUGCAAAUAGUAAUGUCUGGGUGAGCUAUUUCCACAAGUGGGCAUGUAGAGAUUUCAGAUACUAAGAUAUGUACAUUCCUUAGCUGGAACAAGCUGUCCUGUUGAACGAGAGGGACUCCAUCACAUUCCUUGUUACAAGCACUACUGGCAGUACGUACAGUUAUGCUUGAACCGGGCAGUUCCACUUGUAGCUUUGUUGCCUUUUUUUCUGUUGUUCAAGUACAGUAUUGAACUGUAAAUACUUCUUGCAGUACUGCCUUUUUAACUCUUACUCACUUUUGGCACAGUGUUAAAUAGUGUUGGAUUUACCCAAUUGCUAUGACAUAUAUUUUUAUACAUAGGUGUACUCUUUUCUCGAGAAUAACAGCCAUUUUGUCAUCAAUGCCUUACCAGUGUCAUACUGCUGUUGCUCUUUGUUUGCAAGGUAUCGGGUGGACUAAUUUCCAGUUGAGAUAUUUUCACUUUUCCUGGCAGUGCUCAUUUGGGAUCCAGGUGAUUUUUGCCAGUCCCGUUUUUUGCAGUUGUAAGCUGUGAGAAGAGGAGAAUGUGAGCUUUGUGUUCUUCCUGUUAAUGGAGCAAAUGAAAGGUGAUGCCAUCUAAUUGUCUAUAGAAGGUCGGUCUUUUCCUGCUCUAAGCCAGAGUGCAUUUCGUGGAACUGAUGACUGUGGGCACUGAUUACUUUGUGUAGAUCAAAAAGAAAAAAAGAAAAUAAAAACAAAACAAAACAAAACAAAAACCUAAACAACAACAAAAAAAGAAACCUCCCAAAAUGGACUUCUGUCAUUGUUAGGCACUUGGUUACUUAUCUGUUUAAACUCUUCCUAUUGAUGUGAAAUUGUGCCGUGGAUAAAGUGUAUUUUGUACUUCUGAAUGUUCUAUAUUUAUGACUAACAAGUACAGAAUCGGUUGUGUGUAUGUAUAACUAAUAACUGCCUUUUUAAAUUUCAUUCAAAUAAAAAGGUCAUGAGCUGUUG
ensembl:lncRNA